CGAAGGUAUAAGUGUAAAUGCAAUCCUCAGCUCUCUGCUCCUCAGCUCCUCUGCUGGAGCUGUGCACUUCCAGGCUGGCGGGGCAGAGAGAGGCAAAAAUCCUGCCUGUUUCUUCUGUUUGCUUCUGCAAGGCUCCACCCCUACCCACGCCUUGACCACUCAGGCCGGGAGUAGGGCCUGGCGCCGCCCACCUUGAGCCCGUAGUCUCGCGCCGCCUCCCACACGAACUUCUUGCUGACGCCGCCGGCGCCGACCAGCAGCAGCUGCUUUCCUUCCAUGAGGUAACGCGCUGAGCGCCGGAGCAUGGUCUCCACCAGCGGCGCAGCCGCCGCCUCCUCGGCCGCCAAACCCAGGCGAGGCGCGGCCCACAGCCCCUCGAGCGUGCCGCACGCCUCCAAACACAGGCUGCUGUUCAGCUCUAGAGCCACUGGGGUCAGCGCGCGCCCGGACACUGUCAGCGCGAAGUCCACGCCUAGGCCAGGCGAGGAUGCUGCUCAGCGCGGACGGCCCCAGUCUGGGCCCCAGCAGCUCAGCCCUCCCGCCUGCUGCACGCCCGCGCUCACCGAGGAAGUCCGUGCAAGCCCGGCGCCCACCGCGCUGCUCGGCGCUCAGGCCAGCCUCCAAGGCCAGCACCGCGGCCAGCACGGCCUCAGCUGCCUCCUUGACGCGCUGCCUCACAGCUGCUACCUGUGCUGCUUCACUCAGGCCACACUGGGCCAGCGCCACCUCCAGAGUCCUCGGCAGGGAGUUCUGGUGCCGCGGAGGCCGAUCCUCACGACCUACUCCGCACACCACCUAGACAGGUUGCUGUGACUCAAGGGGCUAGACUGCGAGGAGUGUCCCAAGGGACUUCCUCUUUGAAGUCCCCCUGCCUCAGGCACACCUCCCAAGAACCAGUGGGUAUUCAGGAAACUCCAUUCUCCAACAUGACACUCCAGGCCUCGGACCCUACCCUACCCUACCGAGGGUCAGCUAGAGUCCCUGCUCCCUGCUUGCUCUAUCUGCUGCAGUCACCCUGCUGUGUUCUAGCAUGUCCCCCAGAAGCUUCUCCUCCACUGGGGCACUAGCUUAGUUGAAUGCUUCUCUCUAGCUUGACCCAGAGACUGAGCUCUGUAGCUUGGAGGUACCCCCUCCCCCCAGGGCUUCAGGCCUUGGAGAUUUAUCAGAAUCCCAGGUCAGCCUCUUCUGUGAGUAGGAGCUCUCUGAGAAAACAGCCCCCCUCCUCCUGGGCCCCAACAUGGGGCUCUACACAGGGGCAGGCAAGGGCUUCUGGUGCAGGAGGACUCAAGAUGGAGUGUCACACUCAGGGCAUUGGUAACCAGAAUUUCCAAAAAAAUGUUUUCCUGUCUACCCAGAGACUGGGCAGGGCCCUCAUCAGAUCAGUGGGACUGGGCUUGCGUAUGAGGGAUAGGGUUACCCGUAUCUGUGCCCCCACCUCCACCCCACUCACCUUGCUCAGUAGGGGCCUAUCACCCUGAGUUCGACACACCACAGUACAGAUGCGCACAGCCAUUUCUCGGCUGGGUGAGGGACCUCCUGGGUGAAGAGGUAGAGGUCUAAAUCCAGCAGAAAGUCCAAGAAGCCAUGCCAUGCUCCCACCUCUAACUGGUACAGGUGCCUCUCACCUGGGAAGGGCAGCUGGGCAGGUGGACACAUAGCCUCCACCAGGACACUCUCCUCUUCCUCCAGCUUCUCCAGCAGUGCCAGCACUGUGUCCACCACAGCAUCCAGCUCCACCCGUGGGUGCAGACACAAAGCCUGCCGCCCCCGCCAGCGCCAGCCACUGGGCUUCACAGCCACCUACAGCAGGAAGGGGAAAAGGGCCUCCUCGACACCACCCCAUGUACCUGCUAGGUGGGAUAUUUAUGCCACUGAGGCCGAGACUAAACAGGUAAGAGGACAGGGUGUUGCCCCAUCUCUGGGGCAGUGGCAGAGCUAAACGUUAGGGACAGCUUCCCAUUAGGACUUGGGAACCACUCAUGGGUCCCCUCCUGCUGGCACCUACACAGACCUCAGGGUGGGCAGGAGCCUAUUACCUGCACGGCAUCACCUAGAGCCUCGGACUGCAGAAAGGCCCCUACUUCCUCUGUCACCAGUGUUUCCUGGCCCUCUUUGCCACUCAGCUCCACCAGCCGUAGUCCUGGGCUGGCGUCCCCUCCCUGCAGCAGCCCUGGAGGCUUGUAGGUGAAAGCCAGGGUAGCUGGCACGGCCACACAGCCCUGCUGGGACAGCAACUGCCUCAUCAGCAGCCGGUCCUCCAGCAGCCGGGCCAGCUCCACUGAGGCUCCUGUGGGGCAAGUCAGAUUGCGGGCCAGCUCUGCUGCCUCCCGGCCCCUGCCAGCACCCAGCCCCAGGCCUGCCAGGAAGUAGGUGGCACGUCGUGGGGGGACAAAGUCAUCCAGGAAUGUCAGGCCCCCUGGGUAGAAGCUCACAGCCUUGGAGACCAGCAGGGCCGCCUCACCCAGCUGCCCUGAUGCUGGCACCUUCAUCAGCCAGGCUGGGGACAGGCAGAGGAGCAUGUUUCCUGUAGGCAGAGGGGGGCAGGUGGCUGGCCAGGGAAGGCUUAUGUCCCCAGCGCCCAACACCUCCAGCCUGGCCUUUAUGCUGCAGAGGAGACAGUUCUUCCCAGAACCCACCCCUGUUGAGAGUGGGGCAGCUGGUCCCGUGGAAUGCAGGCAGUUGCCAAGGCUGGUGGGUAUUUUGGGAUGUGGCUGGGCCAAAGGGCGGGGCUGCCCUUUCCUUAGCAGGGUGGAGAAUUUGGGCACACACUCACCCGGGCUCUGGACCCCACCCUCCAGCAACACAGACAGAAAGGUGCUGGGGGAUCCCAGAAUGCACAAGGUCACCUCGGCACCAGGGCAACCUCGGGGGAAGAGACAUUGCCAAGCUCACCAGGGGCUCCCCUUGCUACCUCUCUGCCCACCACCUCCAACCCCCACUCUCAUCCUUGGGCCCCCAGGUCCUUCUCAGUGAUCAGACUAGAAGAGUACAGGGGGCAAGAGGAGCUGUCUGCCUCCUAGGCCCCAUGAGGCUGCUCCCUUUCUCUGCAGCUGGUUGGGCUGGGUGAUGGAGACCUGGCUCUAGCCUGGGCUCUGAAUUCUCUGUGACCUUGGAAGGGCCACCAUUUCUGUGAGCUGUUUCCCAGACUGUACCAUGGGAGCGAGUCUCUGCUUCUUAUGUAUUCUAGAUGUGAACCUACUGUGUACACAAAAUCAUUUGUGGCUACACAAUAAAACAUAAAGUAGGAGAGGAA